rnacentral:ncRNA from 1 species
UAGGAACCGUGAGAUUAAGCCAUCGCGGCAGGUGCUCACGUUAAGCCCACUGACUUUCAUGUCCCUAUCUACUAUCUAGCGAAACCACAGCCAAGGGAACGGGCUUGGAAUAAUUAGCGGGGAAAGAAGACCCUUUUGAGCUUGACUCUAAUCUGGCAGUGUAAGGAGACAUAAGAGGUGUAGAAUAAGUGGGAGAUAUUAGACUUCGGUUUGGUAUCGACAAUGAAAUACCACUACUCUUAUUGUUUCCUUACUUACUUGAUUAAAUGGAACGUGUAUCAUUUCCUAGCCAUUAUACGGAUAUAAUUAUUAUGUCUUAUGGUAUUGGGUUUUGAUGCAAGCUUCUUGAUCAAAGUAUCACGAGUUUGUUAUAUAAUCGCAAACAAAUUCUUUAAUGAGAGAAUGCAUUUAUGUAUUAUUGAUUUAAAAAUUUGGUAUAACUCCAAUUACUCAGGUAUGAUCCAAUUCAAGGACAUUGCCAGGUAGGGAGUUUGACUGGGGCGGUACAUCUCUCAAAUAAUAACGGAGGUGUCCCAAGGCCAGCUCAGUGCGGACAGAAACCACACAUAGAGCAAAAGGGCAAAUGCUGACUUGAUCUCGGUGUUCAGUACACACAGGGACAGCAAAAGCUCGGCCUAUCGAUCCUUUUGGUUUAAAGAGUUUUUAACAAGAGGUGUCAGAAAAGUUACCAUAGGGAUAACUGGCUUGUGGCGGCCAAGCGUUCAUAGCGACGUCGCUUUUUGAUCCUUCGAUGUCAGCUCUUCCUAUCAUUGUGAAGCACAAUUCUCCUACCAUUGGAUUGCUUCCCCCCAUGCAAGGUAACGUGAGCUGGGUUUAUACCGUCCUGAUACAUGAUUAGUUUUACCCUCCUACUGAACAGAACGAUUGUUGCCACCGCAUUCAUGCGUAUUACCAAAAUGAUCCGCUCGUACUGGACAUUGGCGCGAUACUUUGUUCGAGCGAAUCUGGCGUUAUGACCCUAC